AGCAGCCGCGGUAAUUCCAGCUCCAAUAGCGUAUAUUAAAGUUGUUGCAGUUAAAAAGCUCGUAGUUGAAUUUCGGGAUCAAUACGUCGGUCGUGCUUCGGUACGUACUGGCGUAAUUGAUUUCUCCCCUUCUGACGAACCAUGAUGUCAUUAACUUGGUGUCAUGGGAAAUCAGGACUGUUACUUUGAAAAAAUUAGAGUGUUUAAAGCAAGCUAACGCUUGAAUACAUUAGCAUGGAAUAAUGAAAUAGGACGUUCGAUCCUAUUUUGUUGGUUUCUAGGAUUGACGUAAUGAUUAAUAGGGAUAGUUGGGGGCAUUAGUAUUCAAUUGUCAGAGGUGAAAUUCUUGGAUUUAUUGAAGACUAACUACUGCGAAAGCAUUUGCCAAGGAUGUUUUCAUUAAUCAAGAACGAAGGUUAGGGGAUCGAAGACGAUCAGAUACCGUCGUAGUCUUAACCAUAAACUAUGCCGACUAGGGAUCGGAUGAUGUUAAUU
rnacentral:rRNA from 1 species